GCCGCUGUCGCCGAGCGUCGGAGCCCGAGGGGCCGCGGCCGCGCGCCGCGGGGGGAGGAGACGGUCUGGAGUCCCCCCGCUGCGCCGGAGAUGGGGAGACGGAGAACUGCAGCGCCCCUUGGGGCUUCUGAGGCGCCCAGGUAACCUCACCUGGCCGCCAGUCUCCCGCAGGAGGAACAGACACAUUGGUUCUACACCGAACCUAUUAACAGCUCAACUUCAAAUAUUUGGCAGAGGUGGGAUUGCAGUUCACUAAGGUUAUAUGAGCCAGCUUGGUUACGCAAAUGUGAAAAUGCACAUUUUCCAGCCUGUGUCAAGGUGGAAACAUCAGGGCAGAAUAACAUAACUGAUAAUAGCUGGUCACACCUAAGAAGCCAGGAAGCAGAGAGAAAUGGAGACCAGCCUACGAGGACACAUUCCUAGUGACCUUCUUCCCAACUUUGGGUUUCCACCAAUUCACAAGAACACCAUUAAUUAUGAAUUCAUCAACAAAUCAAUUCAUCAAUUAAGUUAAAGCUCCCAUGAUGCAAUCACUUCCCUACAUCCUCCCGUCUGAACAUCCUCGCCAUUGAGAACCAAGCCUUCAACACAUGAGUCUGGGCACAAUAAGUCACACUGAAUCCAUUGAAGAUGUAAAUUUUAAUGGUUGAAAAUGACUAGCAUAUUAUGUCUGUGAAAUUCAGUAAAGGGGAAUAUGGAAGAGAACGUGUACUAAAACUAAGGGUUCUAGAACGCAUCUGUGCUCUUCCUUUCAAUCUGGAGAGUGAGACAAGGAAGUCUUAAGUUCAAGGCCAGCCUGGGCUAUGUAGUGUAUGCUACCAUUGGCUAUAUAAUUUGACUCCAGCAUUACAAGAAGUAGAGUAAAUAAAAGAUAAAAAAAAUGACUAUAGAAGUAUCAAGAUAUUACGACUCAUUCAUAUGAUUUCUGCAAUUGAUUUAGUAUGGCAUAUGAUUUAGUAAUCAAAGUGGAUGAAGAUGAUAUAUAUGCAUUAAUAAGAAUAAGUAUGUGAGACUAAACACAGAAUGUCCACCAGACACUGGGCAGUAAUUAGAUUCAACUCUUGUAAAAAUGUUCAACAGGAAGAAAAAAAAAAACUAUAACUUUGCUUUAUACUUGGAUAGUUACUUUCAGUCAUACAGAUAUGGAAUAAAAUGAAAGGAAAAUGCAGAUGGGAUCUGAAGGCCAGCCUUCUAUUAUACUAUUAAAUUGUAGUGCAGGAAAGAAGAAGAGUUUGUUGUAUUUGAUGUUUUCCGAGGUUUUGUUUCUGUUUUUGAAGCAUCUUUUGUUUCACAGAUGCUGUUAAAUGUUGAACAUGACACAAUAAAAAGAAACAGACAAAAGUCACUGUCCUUGAGGAACUAGUAUGAAGAAAAAUCAGAUGUUAAUAAAACAAUCAUUCACAAGA
ensembl:processed_transcript A530058N18Rik RIKEN cDNA A530058N18 gene